UGAGGAAUAUUGGUCAAUGGGCGCAAGCCUGAACCAGCCAUGCCGCGUGCAGGAUGACGGUCCUAUGGAUUGUAAACUGCUUUUGUACGGGAAGAAACACUCCCUCGUGAGGGAGCUUGACGGUACCGUAAGAAUAAGGAUCGGCUAACUCCGUG
rnacentral:rRNA from 1 species